rnacentral:rRNA from 1 species
UUUAUUAAUAGUAUUAUUAUAAGUAAUUGUAUUAAUUAAAGUAUUUAUAUUUUGUUAAUUUUAGUAUUGAUUUAGAAUUUAUGUUGUUUAUUAUAGUUGAACUUUACAGUGAUGGAUUUAUGAAAUAAUUGAAAUAUUUAUUUUUGAGUAGAAGAGUAUUUGUACCUUUUGUAUCAGGAUUUAUUAAAUAUUAUGAAUUUAUUUUCUUUUCUCGAAUUGAGAAGAGUUACUUAUUAAUGAUUUAUAUUGUAUCAUAAAUAUAUUUAAUUGAUAAGUAGUGAUGAAAUGUUAUUCGUUUUUUAAGAUAUCUAGUUUCUCAAGAUAGGAAUUGAAUUUCGGUGUUGUGUUUUAGUAUUGAUAUUUAUAUAUAUAUAUAUAUUAUUAUUAUAUUAUUUGUGAUGCUAAGUAUUUUGGGGAUAAGCUUGGAAUAUUUGAUAUAAAUGGUAGGGGUUGUUGUGCUAUAUGAGCUUUUUAAUGGUUAUUAUUUAUGAGUUUGUUAAAAUUCGUUGUUAUGUAAUUUUUUAUAUAAAUAUGUAUUAUGAUGGUAUUGAGAUUAUAAAUAUAAUAGUUAUAUUUAUGUAAUAAUGAUGGAAUUAGUAAAUGGAGUUGUUUAUUAUUAUUAAUUAAGAGAUUAUUAAUGUCAAGGAAUUAGGCAAGAAUUAUUGUUCGCCUGUUUAUCAAAAACAUGUCUUUUUGUAUUGAUUUAAAGUCGUGCCUGCCCAAUGAGGUUAUUUAAUGGCCGCGGUAUUUUGACCGUGCAAAGGUAGCAUAAUCAUUAGUCUUUUAAUUGUGGGCUGGAAUGAAUGGUUUGACGAAACAAUAACUGUCUCGGUGUUAUAUAUUGAAUUUUACAUUUAAGUUAAAAGGCUUAAAUGAUGAUAAGGGACGAGAAGACCCUAUAGAUCUUUAUUUAAAGUAUUAAUAUUUAUUGUUUGGUGGUUUAAGAUUUUAUUAAUGAUUUAUUUUUGGUUGGGGUGACAAGAGAAAAUAUUAACUUCUUUAUUAUGAAACUAUGAUUAUUGGUUAAUUGAUCCUUUAUUAUGGAAUUAAGAUAAAGAUACCUUAGGGAUAACAGCGUAAUUCUAUUGGAGAGUUCUUAUCGAUAAUGGAGAUUGCGACCUCGAUGUUGGAUUAAGAUUAUAACUGGGUGCAGAAGCUUAGUUUGUUGGUCUGUUCGACCAUUAAAAUCUUACAUGAUCUGAGUUCAAACCGGUGUAAGCCAGGUUGGUUUCUAUCUUUAUUGAUUUAUGAAUAUAUUUUAGUACGAAAGGAUUAAAUAUAUUAAAUAGUUUAUGUUUUUAGAAUAUUAU